AUUGAACGCUGGCGGCAGGCCUAAUACAUGCAAGUCGAGCGAGCGGCGGACGGGUGCGUAAUGUAUGGGGACUGCCCGAUAGAGGGGGAUAACUACUGGAAACGGUAGCUAAUACCGCAUACUAUCGGAUAACCCAUAUGGGAUUAGCUAGUAGGUGAGGUAAUGGCUCACCUAGGCGACGAUCCCUAGCUGGUCUGAAAGGUGGAUCAGCCACACUGGAACUGAGACACGGCCCAUACUCCUACGGAGGCAGCAGUGGGGAAUAUUGCACAAUGGGCGCAAGCCUGAUACAGCCAUGCCGCGUGUAUGAAGAAGGCCCUAGGGUUGUAAAGUACUUUCAGUCGGGAGGCGUUACCGACAGAAGAAGCACCGGCUAACUCCGUGCCAGCAGCCGCGGUAAUUC
rnacentral:rRNA from 1 species